rnacentral:rRNA from 1 species
UACGGUGGGGGCAAGCGUUGUUCGGAAUUACUGGGCGUAAAGGGCUCGUAGGCGGCCAACUAAGUCAGACGUGAAAUCCCUCGGCUUAACCGGGGAACUGCGUCUGAUACUGGAUGGCUAGAGGUUGGGAGAGGGAUGCGGAAUUCCAGGUGUAGCGGUGAAAUGCGUAGAUAUCUGGAGGAACACCGGUGGCGAAGGCGGCAUCCUGGACCAAUUCUGACACUGAGGCACGAAAGCGUGGGGAGCAAACAGG